UGCCUUGGUAGAAUGUUCGCCUUUAAAUGAAUACUUAGUAGUUCCAGGAGUGUAUAAUGUCGCUAAAUAGCGCGGAUAAAGCAGCAAUCGUUAAUGAAUUUAAGCGUGCCGAU
rfam:Legionella drancourtii LLAP12 genomic scaffold scf_56, whole genome shotgun sequence.